rnacentral:rRNA from 1 species
UACGAAGGGGGCUAGCGUUGCUCGGAAUCACUGGGCGUAAAGCGCACGUAGGCGGCUUCUUAAGUCAGGGGUGAAAUCCUGGAGCUCAACUCCAGAACUGCCUUUGAUACUGAGGAGCUUGGAGUCCGGGAGAGGUGAGUGGAACUGCGAGUGUAGAGGUGAAAUUCGUAGAUAUUCGCAAGAACACCAGUGGCGAAGGCGGCUCACUGGCCCAUUACUGACGCUGAGGCACGAAAGCGUGGGGAGCAAACAGG